ACACCUGAAUUCCCACGUUUUACCUUCUUUUCUGAAAUGUAUAAUAAACACAAGUAAUGUAAAAAAGGAGAUAUUAUUCAUUUUUAUUUAACCCUGUAGCUAAAUCAAAACUGUUUUGUCGCAGUAAGGCACUCACCCUCUCAUUGUUAAACUGCUCAAAAAGGUGUAAUAAGAAUUGUGUCAUGGUCCUCCUGCGCUCCUCCUCCACCUCCUAAUUGGACCCAGCUGUCGGCACUCAUCACCUCCACUCCAGCCUAUUUAAGAGGAGCCCUCUCCAGCAUUCUUCGCCAGUUCGUUGCCUUACCCGGUCUUUUCUUCCCAUGUGCCGACCUGGGUCCUGCCUCGCCUAAGCAUCUCGUCUUGGACCACGCCGAUCCUCACCACUCCACGCACCGGCUGCCGGACUCACCUGGUUACUCCACCUGGCCGCUCCAGUCCGCAGCAAGUCUUCGUUCCCAAGUAUCCACCUUCGAUCCUGGUUCCGGACACUACGCCAUUAUCCCCACGGACAAUAAAACUUUAUUUAAACCUC